UACGUAGGGUGCGAGCGUUAUUCGGAAUUACUGGGCGUAAAGCGUGCGUAGGUGGUUUCUUAAGUCCGUUGUGAAAGCCCUGGGCUCAACCUGGGAACUGCAGUGGAUACUGAGAGGCUAGAGUGUGGCAGAGGAUGGUGGAAUUCCCGGUGUAGCGGUGAAAUGCGUAGAGAUCGGGAGGAACAUCAGUGGCGAAGGCGGCCAUCUGGGACAACACUGACGCUGAGGCACGAAAGCGUGGGGAGCAAACAGG
rnacentral:rRNA from 1 species